UGGGGAAUAUUGCACAAUGGGGGAAACCCUGAUGCAGCGACGCCGCGUGAAGGAAGAAGUAUCUCGGUAUGUAAACUUCUAUCAGCAGGGAAGAUAAUGACGGUACCUGACUAAGAAGCCCCGGCUAACUACGUGCCAGCAGCCGCGGUAAUACGUAGGGGGCAAGCGUUAUCCGGAUUUACUGGGUGUAAAGGGAGCGUAGACGGAGUGGCAAGUCUGAUGUGAAAGGCAUGGGCUCAACCUGUGGACUGCAUUGGAAACUGUCAAUCUUGAGUGCCGGAGGGGUAAGCGGAAUUCCUAGUGUAGCGGUGAAAUGCGUAGAUAUUAGGAGGAACACCAGUGGCGAAGGCGGCUUACUGGACGGUAACUGACGUUGAGGCUCGAAAGCGUGGGGAGCAAACAGGAUUAGAUACCCUGGUAGU
rnacentral:rRNA from 1 species